UACGGAGGAUGCGAGCGUUAUCCGGAUUUAUUGGGUUUAAAGGGUGCGUAGGCGGGCUUUUAAGUCAGCGGUAAAAAUUCGGGGCUCAACCCCGUCCGGCCGUUGAAACUGGGGGUCUUGAGUGGGCGAGAAGAAGGCGGAAUGCGUGGUGUAGCGGUGAAAUGCAUAGAUAUCACGCAGAACCCCGAUUGCGAAGGCAGCCUUCCGGCGCCCUACUGACGCUGAGGCACGAAAGUGCGGGGGUCGAACAGG
rnacentral:rRNA from 1 species